UUUCGUUAAUACAUAUUUCACAGGCCAUUCCAAUUUUGCAGUUAACGCUUGUCGGAAGAUUGCGCCACAUGUGUGUUAUUGUUGGAAAUUGAUUGUCAGUUAAAUUGAAAACAUGUCAGGCCGGGCAGGUGGUAAGAAGAAGCCUUUAAAGGCUCAGAAGAAAGAACAGAAGGAAUUCAGUGAGGAGGAUCUUGAAUUCAAGCAAAAGAAGAAGGAAGAGCAAGCUGCAUUGAAGGCAAUGAAGGAGAAGGCUGGCCAGAAAGGUCCUUUAACUGGAGGAGGAAUCAAGAAAUCUGGCAAGAAAUGACCCUGGCUUUGGCUGCCAUAUUUUUAGAGGCGUUUAUCAUGUUUACCUGCAGAGAAAACUUUGUCAUCACUCCUGGUUUACCAUAUACAUGACUUUGUGUUGACUUGUUACCAUGCAAUGUUGGCCAAUUGUUCGUUAUGUAUCUUAUCAUGUAAUAAAAUUUUGAACUCCCAAAUAAAGCAUUUAUUAAAUUCUUUAGAUAGAA